rnacentral:rRNA from 1 species
CGGGGUGAGUAACGCGUGGGUAGCCUGCCUCAUACAGGGGGAUAACAGUUAGAAAUGGCUGCUAAUACCGCAUAAGACCACAGUACUGCAUGGUACAGUGGUAAAAACUCCGGUGGUAUGAGAUGGACCCGCGUCUGAUUAGGUAGUUGGUGAGGUAACGGCCCACCAAGCCGACGAUCAGUAGCCGACCUGAGAGGGUGACCGGCCACAUUGGGACUGAGACACGGCCCAG